GGGGACAGUGGCUCAGUGGUAGAGCAUCUGCUCGAUAAGCAGAAGGUCCCAGGUUCGAUCCCUGGCAUCUCCA